AUGCACAAGUCCCAACAAGCCCUACUUCACACCAAGUCGAAGCUUCAUGAGCAAAAAAGAAGACCGCUAGACGAGCACCACCAAGACGGAGCUACGGCUACACCAACCACUUCGGCAUCUUCGCCAAGUGUUCUCAAGGCGUCUUCGCCUUUGGACGUACGACAUCUUUGCUUACUUCCCAUGAGUUCACCUACAUCGACAUCUUCAACAACAAGGCGACCACCUACAAGCGAGGGCGACACUUCGAUCUUCGGAAGCCCCUCAAGGAAUAUGGCCGAGCAUGGGAAAUUCCCUUCGGUCGUGGAGACGAGCUACGAGGUGCCACAUCAUAUGGACCUCCAACAACAAGACGGUGAUAGGAAGGUCGAGCAAGGGCCAUCCCCUUCGACCACAACGAUGAGCAUGAACCUCUUCAACAACAUGAAGACGUCGCCCAUAUUGGACUUAUACUCCGAGUCAAGCUACGAGACCGCACAUGGAGACAUUUGCACCUACAUGUAUCGGACACCCACAUAUGAUGAGAUGUCCCAAGUGCCAUGUGAGGAGAGCCACCACAUGAGUGACUCCACCAUACAUGACAUUGAGAGCAUUUCCUAUGAGAGGAUGAGUGUGAUCACCACUAGCCCCACACAUGAGAGGAUGCCAUACAUCCUAUGUGAGAUUGAGCGCCAUUUGAGUGACUGCACCAACCAUAUGAGUGAGAGCAUCCUCGAGGGAGUGAGUGAGCUACAACACUUAGUGAGUGAGGAAGUUGACACGGCAUGUGAGACCACUAUGGUUUCUAACGACUUACCUCUACUCCAAGUGUGUUUUCCUUUUUGGUGCUAG
rnacentral:rRNA from 1 species